rnacentral:rRNA from 1 species
UACGAAGGGGGCUAGCGUUGCUCGGAAUCACUGGGCGUAAAGGGUGCGUAGGCGGGUCUUUAAGUCAGGGGUGAAAUCCUGGAGCUCAACUCCAGAACUGCCUUUGAUACUGAAGAUCUUGAGUCCGGGAGAGGUGAGUGGAACUGCGAGUGUAGAGGUGGAAUUCGUAGAUAUCAGGAAGAACACCCGUGGCGAAGGCGGCUCUCUGGGACGGUACUGACGCUGAGACGCGAAAAGCGUGGGGAGCGAACAGG